rnacentral:rRNA from 1 species
UACGGAGGGUGCAAGCGUUAUCCGGAUUCACUGGGUUUAAAGGGUGCGUAGGUGGGUUUGUAAGUCAGUGGUGAAAUCUCCAAGCUUAACUUGGAAACUGCCGUUGAUACUAUAAAUCUUGAAUGUUGUGGAGGUGAGCGGAAUAUGUCAUGUAGCGGUGAAAUGCUUAGAUAUGACAUAGAACACCAAUUGCGAAGGCAGCUCACUACACGGUUAUUGACACUGAGGCACGAAAGCGUGGGGAUCAAACAGG